rnacentral:rRNA from 1 species
UACGAAGGGGGCUAGCGUUGCUCGGAAUCACUGGGCGUAAAGGGUGCGUAGGCGGGUCUUUAAGCCAGGGGUGAAAUCCUGGAGCUCAACUCCAGAACUGCCUUUGAUACUGAGGAUCUUGAGUCCGGGAGAGGUGAGUGGAACUGCGAGUGUAGAGGUGAAAUUCGUAGAUAUUCGCAAGAACACCAGUGGCGAAGGCGACUACCUGGCCUGUUCUUGACGCUGAGGCGCGAAAGCUAGGGGAGCAAACGGG